rnacentral:rRNA from 1 species
GGAGGAUGAAGGUCUUCGGAUUGUAAACUCCUGUUGAUCGGGACGAAAAGCUUCGACCUAACACGUCGGAGACUGACGGUACCGGUUGAGGAAGCCACGGCUAACUCUGUGCCAGCAGCCGCGGUAAUACAGAGGUGGCAAGCGUUGUUCGGAAUUACUGGGCGUAAAGGGCGCGUAGGCGGCCUUCUAAGUCGGACGUGAAAGCCCCAGGCUUAACCUGGGAACUGCGUCCGAUACUGGGAGGCUUGGAUUCGGGAGAGGGAUGUGGAAUUCCAGGUGUAGCGGUGAAAUGCGUAGAUAUCUGGAGGAACACCGGUGGCGAAGGCGGCAUCCUGGACCGAGAUCGACGCUGAGGCGCGAAAGCUAGGGGAGCAAACAGGAUUAGAUACCCUGGUAGUCCACGCCGUAAACUAUGGGUGCUAGCCGUCGGGGAGCUUGCUCUUCGGUGGCGCAGCAAACGCAUUAAGCACCCCGCCUGGGGAGUACGGUCGCAAGAUUA